GUGAAUCAUCAAAUCUUUGAACGCAAAUUGCACUCCCUGGUAUUCCGGGGAGUAUGCCUGCUUGAGGGUCGUUGGUAGAAUAAUCGACGCAUCGUUCUUUUUUGGUAGGGGAUCUCGGCGGAAUUGAGUCGUCUUUCAAAUGGUAAUUCAGGUCAAAGUAGGUUAAAAUUCAUCAUUCCAUUACGAUUACAGCGUAUUUAAGAUGA
rnacentral:misc_RNA from 1 species